rnacentral:lncRNA from 1 species
AGACCCAAAAGUUCCCCCAACAACUUUUUUACACUCCUUCCAUCACUCAGUCCAAAAUUAGAACUCCUCCCUCGUUUCUCUCCCACUCCUCCCAAAUAAACCCUAGUAACUAGUAUUGCAAUUUCCUCUCUCCGUCUCCGUCUCCGUCUCCCUCUUAUCGAUAUGGCGCGGAUCGUUAGUCGUUGUAGCUUGUGACUCCCUCGUCUCGACUCUCGAUCGGAAGCCUCUGGUCUCUAAUGAAGCUUCAGAGGAGUUCAACAAUCUCUAUCUUCAAACAAAAUUCAGCAAGAUCGUUUUGAUUUUUCUCUCAUUUUCGUUAUUUUUUGUUUAUUUGUUAUUGUAGUAUAUAUAUAUAUAGUGCUCUAAGGAUUAGUUUGAUUUGUGGUUGAGAUUUGAUUGGCUGAAGCAAGAGCCAUCUGUCGAGCAGAGUUUUAUUUGUUGAGAUUUAGGGUAUGUUUCAUGGUUUUGGUAUUUAGCAUUAGCACUACUUCUUACUACUUUUUCAGAGUACUUUGUUAUUUGUUUUUGAUGUUUCUCUGUUGUGUCAUGUUUGUCCAGCCUGAAUUUUGCAUUUUGUGAAUUAGAGUUGCUGUUUGAUUAGUUGUGUCUUUCUUGUCUUGGUGGUAGUAGUGAUGAUUGGUAUGCAUAUGUUAUUGUGUGUAGGAAAAAUUUACUCUCACGUGGGUAGAUAUUGAUAAUAAACUAGAAAAAAGACUCAUAGAAGCAUAGACAUAUAUCUAUUACCAACUUGACUGAAGAAAAUUUAAUUUGAAGUACUUUUUUCUUGAUAAGUAAUGCAAAAAAAUGUAGAACUAGCCUAUGCUUUCUAAGUAAAUUCAUGACCACUCAAUAUCACUAUGCAAUUUUCUCUGUUAAUUUCUUUUCCGUUAGUUUUCUUUUGGCUUUAACUUGUACAAAAAUUUCUGAAGGCUUUAACUUGUACAAAAGUUUCUGAUAGAGUUGUUGCUCUAGUAUGGAUGCAAUUAGCUUUUCUUUUUCCUUGUAGCUUCAUUGAUAGCUCUGAUGAUGUAGCUCCAGCUUCAUUAAUCGUCCUAAAUUUUUAAAAGAUGAUUUUUUUCUUGGAAAAACAGAGCUUUUGCUUCCAGUUGAGCAGAGAGAUACAUGUUUUAAUUAUAUAGCAACUGAUUGCGGACUCAAAGAAGAUACACAAAGGCUAUGAACUGUCCACAUGCUAUAAUUCCAUGUCAGAGAUCAAUCACUGGAAAGUAAGCUUUUUUUAUCUUUUACCUUCAAGUUUUUCCUUUUUGACAUUAUUAUAUGAACUGCUCAUAUCCUCAUCCCUAAAAUUGUAAUUUUGCUUCAAGGAAAUACAUUUCCAAUCCCGAGACAGUUGUAGUGGAACAAAUAAAAUUUAGUUUACUUCUAGAAAAUAUACUACCGAAGCAAGAUAUACUAGGAUCAAGUAUAACUUUAAACUCUAUUAAGGUAGUAUUGUGUCAGCAUUCUUGCUUCUUCGUUGCUUUGCUGCUUUUAUUUGGUUUUUCUAUCUCUUUCUUUUUUCUUUUUGGUUGUUCAAUUAUGAUCAUAACCUGAUGUGAUUAUGAUGGAAAAAUCUCUUACAUUAGGUAGAUUUUGGAGACAAGGCAGCUUAAACUGGUAGAUACAAUCAAGCAUUUUCUUCUGUUUUUGUGUUUGCGGAAUGAAAGGUAUGAAUCAUUGACGCUAAUGUUUUUGCCGAUUUGGUAUGUUUUUUUUAUCAUAUACGCUGAACCAAAAGUAAAUAAUAUUUGGGUCGAAUUAGUUUUCACACUUUCUAUAUAUUUUUUCUAUUCAAUUUCAAUCUGCGUCAGUGUUUUUGCAUUCGAUUUAUGUACUUUUGGUCUUUUAAUUCUAUUUCUGCCUCCUCUUCGUCAUCUUUAAUUUUGUGGAAAGCUAGUUGUAAUAAGGGCUUGAGGUUAUUAGCAUAUGCCGAUAUGAGAAACUUAUCUGUUACCUUAUAUGAUAUAAAAUUUUUAUUUGACCUUCAAAAAUGUUGGAAAAAAUAAUCGCCAAAAGUGAAUUGUAAUAAUAGAAACAUGAUUUGGUAGUAUUUUUAUCUGACACUAGCACACAUUCAUUCUCUAGCUUUGAGGUUCAUUAGCCAAUGAUUUACACAAUCUUAAAUUAAUAUACUGUGUGUUCACUUUGUUUGCUUGCAUCAUGAAAGUUGAAAGGUGUGCUCUUUAUCUAGGUAGAGUCGAGUCAUAUAAUGUAUGUGUCGGUUUGAUAUUUCUCCUAGGUGUUGCUUCACUAUAGGUGGAUAGGUAGCGUAUAAAAAGAUUUACUAGGCCGUGCAUACCCAUGGAUCCAAUUUAACCAUCUUGGUUGAAUUUGGAUGAGCUUUUCACUACCUAGAUGUGCAUAUGUUGUAGUGAAGCCUUACAAGCUCAUCCCCAAAUAUAGAUUAUCAUAUUCAUGGGCACCAAUAAGUUUUACCAAUUAUUCGAGUCCUACACAUUUAAUUUUUUUUUGGUGAUGCUCGGUACCACAUUGACGAUGUACUUGUACAUCAUUACUUCAAUUCGAGUAACAAAAACAUAUGUAAGAAAGAUUGGACAGUAACACAUGUUGCUAUGUGGAAGCUGCUCGUUAUGGGGUUCUUAUUCAAUUUAUUUUUGGUGCAGCAAGCAUGUACUACAACUUCAAUUUAGUGUUAGACAUUCUUGAGAUAAUGCAGGUAUGUCUCAGUUAUGAAAUUUUCGUGCUCGAACUUUUUUCUUCCUAGCACUAGCUAAGAGAAAAUGAAGAACAUAGUUGAUAUACGAUAUGUGGAUGAAUAUCAUGUCAAAUCAUGCUUAUUCCUAUUUUUUUAGCCUAAUCUUAAUAAUAGAACAGUUUCAAGCAUACUUUCCCAAUUUUAUGUGGUUGGUGCACGAUUUGCUUUAGUUUAGUUUAGUUCAUACCACAAGAAUAUUGAUAUCAUGAAUCAUAAUAACGUCUAUGUGAUAACAAGUCUUUUUGACAUUUUAUUUGUGUCUAUUACAGUUGGUAAUUGAAAAAAUCCACUCAUGCUGAAUGAGUCAUUUCUUGCCUUCUUAUAUUCCAAUCGAAAAUUGCAAAGUGUGAGUGCACAUUAUAAUGCUUAUCAGUGUGCAAUGAAAAAGUUCAAUUUUUGGCACUUUAGGGAGGAGAAUUUCUUGUUUGUUUUGGUACUGACAAUUAAUCCUCUUUGCUUCUUCCAUGCUUCUAUAUUAUAUUAUUUUCAGGUAUGGUACUUGACUAAUACCAAGUGAGAUUCAUAUUGGUGAAAACUUAAUCUUAAAUAACACCCAAGAUACUGAUGUGAGAGAUGUAAGUGUUCGUUUUAUCAUGAUUUUGUUUCUUAGUUUUCAUUUAUUCGCACCUCUAUUUAUCUUCUAGACAAACGAAUCUACUCUUACCGAAGCAUUUACUUCAUGGCUCUAUAAUCCUUUGUAACCAAUAUAUUGGGUCCCGUGUUGUGCACGGGUUGCACCUAUCUAGUGUAAUUUAGAAUAAAAAGUUCUCUUAUGUUUGCGGCAGGACUAAUCUUGUUAUUACUUGUUGCUUAUUGGUUUGUUUAAUUUUGUAGGCUCAAAAUGUAAGAAGUAUGUCCCAUCACCUGAAAACCCAACAAGGAUCACCAAUUGGAAGUAACACACUAUAUUUAUGCGAGUGCUCGAUGAACUUUUUUUUAGGAUUUGUUAUAGCUAUUUCCCUUUUAUUGAGUGGAUGUAAAGUACUACGCAAAAUUUUAAUAGAUUUUAUGAUAUAAUUUUGAAGUGCUGAAGUUAUUUAUAUACAAUGAAUGAUUUACUUAUUGAACAUUUCUCUUAUCUGAUUCUUGAUUGUCGAAUUGUGAAACAUUGGAACAAGCUUUUUGAUAAAUUAGGUAAGGUGUCGAACUAGAAUGAAAAGAAAUGUAGAAGAAAAUAAGCAGCACUUUAAAAUUGUCAUAUAUAAAUAAUGGCUUAAUGUAUG